UUGAACGCUGGCGGCAGGCCUAACACAUGCAAGUCGGGCGGAUGAAGGGAGCUUGCUCCUGGAUUCAGCGGCGGACGGGUGAGUAAUGCCUAGGAAUCUGCCUGGUAGUGGGGGAUAACGUCCGGAAACGGGCGCUAAUACCGCAUACGUCCUGAGGGAGAAAGUGGGGGAUCUUCGGACCUCACGCUAUCAGAUGAGCCUAGGUCGGAUUAGCUAGUUGGUGGGGUAAAGGCCUACCAAGGCGACGAUCCGUAACUGGUCUGAGAGGAUGAUCAGUCACACUGGAACCGAGACACGGUCCAGACUCCUACGGGAGGCAGCAGUGGGGAAUAUUGGACAAUGGGCGAAAGCCUGAUCCAGCCAUGCCGCGUGUGUGAAGAAGGUCUUCGGAUUGUAAAGCACUUUAAGUUGGGAGGAAGGGCAGUAAGUUAAUACCUUGCUGUUUUGACGUUACCAACAGAAUAAGCACCGGCUAACUUCGUG
rnacentral:rRNA from 1 species